AAGAAUUUAAGUUAACUAAACUAUUGACCUUCAAAGUCAAAAAUGAAUGAAAAUUUAGUUCUUA
rnacentral:tRNA from 1 species